rnacentral:rRNA from 1 species
GACGAACGCUGGCGGCGUGCUUAACACAUGCAAGUCGAACGAUGAAGCUGGAGCUUGCUCCGGUGGAUUAGUGGCGAACGGGUGAGUAACACGUGAGCAAUCUGCCCUUGACUCUGGGAUAACUGCGGGAAACUGUAGCUAAUACCGGAUACUUUCAUUGGAAGGCAUCUUCUGGUGAAGAAAGAAUUUCGGUCAAGGAUGAGCUCGCGGCCUAUCAGCUUGUUGGUGAGGUAACGGCUCACCAAGGCGACGACGGGUAGCCGGCCUGAGAGGGUGACCGGCCACACUGGGACUGAGACACGGCCCAGACUCCUACGGGAGGCAGCAGUGGGGAAUAUUGCACAAUGGGCGCAAGCCUGAUGCAGCAACGCCGCGUGAGGGAUGAAGGCCUUCGGGUUGUAAACCUCUUUUAGCAGGGAAGAAGCGAAAGUGACGGUACCUGCAGAAAAGGCACCGGCUAACUACGUGCCAGCAGCCGCAGUAA